ACUAGAGAGGAAACAUGAUUCAGGGAAGAAAUUACAUGGUGAAAACCUUUUUUACAAACACGGAGUCAGUGAACACAUCCAGGCUGCCCAUUCAUUUCAUCAGCAGACAUCAUUAGCCUGACCCUAAGCGAGGUGCCUGAGGCUGUAGAGGAAGUACUCGUGCUCUGAAGGAGCUUAAAGUUUACUUGCGGAGACCAGACUGCCGCAUCGGAGACGGCAGUAGAGCACAGCAGAGCACAGUUCAAGAUCCCAGCUCGGUCACAGCACCCGUGUGGUCCUGCGGACGUAAACUUCUGUGUGCCUGAGCGUAUUUGUUUCUGAGGGAGAGGAGGAGGAUAGCACAGAGAACUCCAGAGCGGUUGGGAGGAUUCCAGGAGAUAAGAUGCUUAGAACAGUGCCCCGCAUGGAAUAAGCUCUCAAAAAGGUUAGCUUUAUUCUCAGAACAAUCGGCAAAAGAUGACGGGGUGAAAUGAACCAGCAGUGACGG